UCGAAUAGAGGGAAUGGCUACUCCUUUAUACUCAUUGAUAGACUCAAAAAUCGACCCUUGCCAGAGGACCUUAGGGUCUGAGACUAUCUCCCCUUGAAACCCAGCCUACCCUGCGAUCCCUACCAUGCCUGCUUAGCCCCCGACGAAGACACAUGUCUUCCAUCCGUAGAAACACCUGUCAACGCACCUCUUAAGACUACAUUCCUGCAAGGACC
rnacentral:lncRNA from 1 species